UACGUAGGCAGCAAGCGUUGUUCGGAAUUACUGGGCGUAAAGCGUGCGCAGGCGGUUUUGUAAGUCUGUCGUGAAAUCCCCGGGCUCAACCUGGGAAUGGCGAUGGAGACUGCAAGGCUAGAGUUUGGCAGAGGGGGGUAGAAUUCCACGUGUAGCAGUGAAAUGCGUAGAUAUGUGGAGGAACACCGAUGGCGAAGGCAGCCCCCUGGGUCAAAACUGACGCUCAUGCACGAAAGCGUGGGGAGCAAACAGG
rnacentral:rRNA from 1 species